GAUGAACGCUAGCUAUAGGCUUAACACAUGCAAGUCGAGGGGAAACGGCAUUGAGUGCUUGCACUCUUUGGACGUCGACCGGCGCACGGGUGAGUAACGCGUAUCCAACCUUCCCAUUACUGUGGGAUAACCUGCCGAAAGGCAGACUAAUACCGCAUAGUCUUCGAUGACGGCAUCAGAUUUGAAGUAAAGAUUUAUCGGUAAUGGAUGGGGAUGCGUCUGAUUAGCUUGUUGGCGGGGUAACGGCCCACCAAGGCUACGAUCAGUAGGGGUUCUGAGAGGAAGGUCCCCCACAUUGGAACUGAGACACGGUCCAAACUCCUACGGGAGGCAGCAGUGAGGAAUAUUGGUCAAUGGACGGAAGUCUGAACCAGCCAAGUAGCGUGCAGGAUGACGGCCCUAUGGGUUGUAAGCUGCUUUUGUAUGGGGAUAAAGUUAGGGACGUGUCCCUAUUUGCAGGUACCAUACGAAUAAGGACCGGCUAAUUCCGUG
rnacentral:rRNA from 1 species